UCCAGACUCCUACGGGAGGCAGCAGUGGGGAAUAUUGCACAAUGGGGGGAACCCUGAUGCAGCGACGCCGCGUGGGCGAGGAAGUAUUUCGGUAUGUAAAGCCCUAUCGGCAGGGAAGAAGAAAUGACGGUACCUGAAUAAGAAGCACCGGCUAAAUACGUGCCAGCAGCCGCGGGAAUACGUAUGGUGCAAGCGUUAUCCGGAUUUACUGGGUGUAAAGGGAGCGCAGGCGGCACGGCAAGCCUGAUGUGAAAGCCCGCGGCGCAACCGCGGGACUGCAUUGGGAACUACCGGGCUGGAGUGCCGGAGAGGUAGGCGGAAUUCCUAGUGUAGCGGUGAAAUGCGUAGAUAUAAGGAAGAACACCAGUGGCGAAGGCGGAUGACUGGACGGCAACUGACGGUGAGGCGCGAAAGCGUGGGGAGCAAACAGGAUUAGAUACCCCCGUACGA
rnacentral:rRNA from 1 species